rnacentral:rRNA from 1 species
UACGAAGGGUGCAAACGUUGCUCGGAAUUAUUGGGCGUAAAGCGCACGUAGGCGGCUUUUCAAGUCCCAUGUGAAAGCCCACGGCUUAACCGUGGAAGUGCAUGGGAAACUGGAGAGCUUGAGUACUUAAGAGGAUCGCGGAAUUCCCGGUGUAGAGGUGAAAUUCGUAGAUAUCGGGAGGAACACCAGUGGCGAAGGCGGCGAUCUGGGAAGAUACUGACGCUGAGGUGCGAAAGCGUG